GUAGAAACGAUUUCUAGGUGAAGGAACCAUGUCUACGCUAGGAACGAGGCCGAUCGAAACCACCAAAUCGCCACUGUGGAGAAACGACUCGUUUCUAGGCUCAUUCAUCCCGAUCCACUGCGCCCACCGCCGUGGCGAUGCCGCACGCAUGCUCGCGCCCUUCCCCCGCGCUCCGCUCCGAUUUCCCGCACGAUGGCCUCUCCUCCCCUGCAAGCGCGCUCUUUUCUCCGAUUCCUCUGGCGCUCGCUCACCGCCAUCCCACCAGCAAGCCUUAAAGACUCGGUCUCCAAACCCUAUCCCAAAUCCUUGCUUCAUCCGGUCCCAAUCCAUCCCCAUUUUCUUCAACCAUGAAUCCCCUCCGUCUGCCAUCUUCAAGCUCCAAGCAAAUCGAGGCAGGGCAAGGCAGGUUAGGGUAGGGCAAGGCGCGUGCUUCCAUGGCUCUUGAUGCCCGAUUUGCUUCGGUCGCUGCUACUCCCGCUGCCCCUGCUGAUGGAUCGACUUCGGCCACCGGUGAACCCAUCGCCCAAGCAGCAACAACAUCUCCAGCACCUGCAAGUCUUGAAGCCGCGGGAUUUCCUGCGUGGUGGAGAAGUUCAUCUCCGCUUGGCUCAAGUGACGGCCUGAUGGCUUCUGGAUGACUGCUGGACCUACUUGAGAUGAUGCCGUGCAAACCUGAUGGUUGCACCUUAUAUUAUUUUAUAUACUAUAAUAUAUCAUGAACUUUAGUUAUUCUCUUGCCCAACUAUAUGAAAUCUCCUGAUGUAUGAUGCCAUCUGUUAUCUUUAUCUAUAAAUUUGUGUGUAUUGAACUAUGUGGUAUCUAUUAUCUUUAUAUCUAAAUUCUGUUCUAAACUA